rnacentral:rRNA from 1 species
AGCAGCCGCGGUAAUUCCAGCUCCAAUAGCGUAUAUUAAAGUUGUUGCAGUUAAAAAGCUCGUAGUUGAAUUUCGGGGUCAGUAGGCUGGUCGUGCCACAGGUAUGCACUGGUUUCACUGAUUCCUCCUUCCUGAUGAACCGUAAUGCCAUUAAUUUGGUGUUGCGGGGAAUCUGGACUGUUACUUUGAAAAAUUAGAGUGUUUAAAGCAGGCUAACGCUUGAAUACAUUAGCAUGGAAUAAUGAAAUAGGACGAUCGAUCCUAUUUUGUUGGUUUCUAGGAUUGACGUAAUGAUUAAUAGGGAUAGUUGGGGGCAUUAGUAUUCAAUUGUCAGAGGUGAAAUUCUUGGAUUUAUUGAAGACUAACUACUGCGAAAGCAUUUGCCAAGGAUGUUUUCAUUAAUCAAGAACGAAAGUUAGGGGAUCGAAGACGAUCAGAUACCGUCGUAGU